GCCUGCCCAGUGACUCUGUUUAACGGCCGCGGUAUCCUAACCGUGCGAAGGUAGCGUAAUCACUUGUUCUUUAAAUGAGGACUAGUAUGAAUGGCAUCACGAGGGUUAUACUGUCUCCCUUUUCUAAUCAGUGAAACUAAUCUUCCCGUGAAGAAGCGGGAAUAAAGCUAUAAGACGAGAAGACCCUAUGGAGCUUUAAACAAAAUAACAAUUGCUACUAUCAUUAUCUAUUUCAGAAAUUUAAAUUUUAUCUUAGCAUUAUGAUUAUUAGUUUUAGGUUGGGGUGACCGCGGAGUAAAAAUUAACCUCCGCAUUGAAAGGAUAAUUUCCUAAGCAAGAAGUUACGACUUUAUGCAUCAACAAAUUGACAUUAAUUGACCCAAUAUUUUGAUCAACGAACCAAGUUACCCUAGGGAUAACAGCGCAAUCCACUUCAAGAGCUCCUAUCGACA
rnacentral:rRNA from 1 species